GACGAACGCUGGCGGCGUGCUUAACACAUGCAAGUCGAACGAUGAAGCCGGAGCUUGCUCUGGUGAAUUAGUGGCGAACGGGCGAGUAACACGUGAGUAACCUGCCCUUGACUCUGGGAUAACUGCGGAAACUGUAGCUAAUACCGGAUACGACCCUCGGAGGCAUCUCCUGGGGGUGGAAAGAAUUUCGGUCAAGGAUGGACUCGCGGCCUAUCAGCUAGUUGGUGAGGUAAAGGCUCACCAAGGCGACGACGGGUAGCCGGCCUGAGAGGGUGACCGGCCACACUGGGACUGAGACACUGCCCAGACUCCUACGGGAGGCAGCAGUGGGGAAUAUUGCACAAUGGGCGCAAGCCUGAUGCAGCAACGCCGCGUGAGGGAUGACGGCCUUCGGGUUGUAAACCUCUUUUAGCAGGGAAGAAGCGAAAGUGACGGUACCUGCAGAAAAAGCACCGGCUAACUACGUGCCAGCCGCCGCGGUAA
rnacentral:rRNA from 1 species